GUUGAUCAGUAGGGGCUGAAGGUAUGCAUGUUGAUCAGUAGGGGCUGAAGGUAUGCAUGUUGAUCAGUAGGGGCUGAAGGUAUGCAUGUUGAUCAGCAGGGGCUGAAGGUAUGCAUGUUGAUCAGCAGGGGCUGAAGGUAUGCAUGUUGAUCAGUAGGGGCUGAAGGUAUGCAUGUUGAUCAGUAGGGGCUGAAGGUAUGCAUGUUGAUCAGCAGGGGCUGAAGGUAUGCAUGUUGAUCAGUAGGGGCUGAAGGUAUGCAUGUUGAUCAGUAGGGGCUGAAGGUAUGCAUGUUGAUCAGUAGGGGCUGAAGGUAUGCAUGUUGAUCAGUAGGGGCUGAAGGUAUGCAUGUUGAUCAGCAGGGGCUGAAGGUAUGCAUGUUGAUCAGCAGGGGCUGAAG
ensembl:lncRNA